rnacentral:rRNA from 1 species
AUUGAACGCUGGCGGCAGGCCUAACACAUGCAAGUCGAGCGGAGCGGCGGACGGGUGAGUAAUGCCAAGGAAUCUGCAUGGUAUUGGGGGAAAACGUCCGGAAACGGGAGCUAAUACCGCAUACGAUAAGAUGAGACUAGGUCGGAUUAGCUAGUUGUGGGGGUAAAGGCCUACCAAGGCGACGGUCCGUAACUGGUCUGAGAGGAUGAUCAGUCACUCUGGAACGGAGACACGGUCCAGGCUCCUACGGGAGGCAGCAGUGGGGAAUAUUGGACAAUGGGCGAAAGCCUGAUCCAGCCAUGCCGCGUGUGUGAAGAAGGUCUUCGGAUUUUAAAGCACUUUAAGUUGGGAGGCGUUACCAACAGAAUAAGCACCGGCUAACUUCGUGCCAGCCGCCGCGGUAAUAC